rnacentral:rRNA from 1 species
AUGUUAGCGGCGGACGGGUGAGUAACACGUGGGUAACCUACCUAUAAGACUGGGAUAACUCCGGGAAACCGGGGGCUAAUACCGGAUAAUAUUUUGAACCGCAUGGUUCGAUAGUGAAAGACGGUUUCGGCUGUCACUUAUAGAUGGACCCGCGCCGUAUUAGCUAGUUGGUAAGGUAACGGCUUACCAAGGCGACGAUACGUAGCCGACCUGAGAGGGUGAUCGGCCACACUGGAACUGAGACACGGUCCAGACUCCUACGGGAGGCAGCAGAG